GAAUGCCUCUUCUAUUUUCUUCUUUUUUUUUUUUCUUUUUGGACUAAUUUCACUCACUAGAACUUCUACUACAAUGUUGAAUAAAAGUUGGGAGACAGACAUCUUGUGUUUUUCUUGAUCUUCAGAGGAAAGCUUUCAGUCUUUUAUCAUUAAAUAUAUUAGCUAUGGUUUUUCAUAGAUAUUUUCUAUCACACUGAGGAAGUUCCCUUCUACUUCUAACAACUGACAUUUUUGGGUGGAAAAAAAUGUCAAUUAAGGUCUAAACUUUGGGUAGAAGACAGAUUUCUUAUGAUUUUCAAGUCCAGAAAGCCCAAGGAAACAUGCUAUGGUUUCUCUGCUGUUCCAGAGGACUUCGGUUGGAAGUGAGUUGGUUUUACGCCUAUUUCUAAACUAACAUGGAUGUUGAAGCUGUUUCACUUGCCUGGGUUCAGUUUUUCAUUCAAUCACUAAAAAAUCCAGUUCAUUUGAAGAGUGAGAAGGAUUGCCAAGGCAAUGACAGCAGAGGUGCGUCUGUUUCCUCAUGAAUCAGAUCAGUGGAAAUAGAGACACACAGUAAGCAUUCAAUAAGUAUUUGCAAAUGAAUGAAUUAACAAACUUCAGAUGACAUUAAGGAUUUUUACCAUGUUGGAUUAGAAACCCUUGAAAGCUUCCCCUAACUUUAAUACCCUCAGAUUAUUAAGGACAUUGAAAUCGGAGUUACUCCGAGCCUUUCCUGCCUGUGAGUUAGCUACAGGACUGGGAUACAGCUGGAGCUCCCUAAUUCCUCCUGCAGAACUCUCCAGCAUAUACCGUCCUAGCUGAGAAAGCCUGAGUCCAUGCACCUUCUAGGAACAGACGUUCUCAUUAGGUAGAUUUAAAAGGGUUGUGUGGCCCCAAAUAGCUGCUCCACUGCCAGAAACUCCACUAUUACAGAUUUAUUCCUUUCAAUCAGUGCCUUCUGAAAGACUGCAGGAGCAAAUCAGGCCAAGACGUGAGGGAAUCCAGGCAAGAAUCCUGUUGAAUGAUUAGGAGUCAAUUCAGGCUUCAGAGGCAGACAGAGCUGAGCUUGAAUCUCAGAUCUGUUACCUGCUUGUGUGACUUUCGGAACCAAAUUGGAGGAAGAAGAGAAUCCAGCAACACUGAAGAUGGAAGUUCCACAGGAGCCUUCUGCCCUCUGAGUUCUUUUAAACCAAGAAAUAUCAUAGCAAAGAAGGCCCACACCAACACACAACAGUUCUGGAGGCUGGAAAGUCCAGGAUCAAGGCGUCAGCAGGUUCAGUGUUGGACUUUCAAGCUCUGGGAGAAACAGAAAGCUGCCGCCUUACUCAGUGCCGCGAUGGGGAGCCGUGCCCUGUGCCCGGACACAGGAGGCACCCAAUGAGCCUUCGUUGGACUGCAGCCAGAAGCAGCCUGUGGCAAAUGUGACAUUUUUUGAUAUCUUUGGUUUUGUCUUAAAACUCAGAAGAAUUUUCCCUUCUAUUACAUACUGCAUCUGUUAUUUUCAAUAUAAAAAUAAUUUUGUGUUCUAAUGAUGGAGUAAUUUAGCACAACAGGAGAUAGCCAUGGUUUUUCCAUUCCUUUGUGAAUUGCUAGAGAUGAAAACUCCCCAUCUUUAACUUAAAAGAUUAAUGAUGAUUUAGCUUCCCAAUGAAGUUAUAUUAUGGAUGAGGAUCUUUUUCCAAAAUGAUCACUGUGGGGAUCAGCAUAUCCUAGUUUGAGAUGAGUGAAGGAAAACUGUCAUUCACACUUUGCUGUAGGCUCCUGCAUGCCACCCACAUGAAGCAGGACACGGGGGCAUGCCACGGCUGAGAGGAAAGGUUCAGAAUGUCUGGGUGGGCUUCAGAUGCGCAGAGGAAACAGCCCAGCACAAACCUGGCACAGACUGUGUGUGUGGCAGUAGGGCAAGAGUAUUUGAUAAAUAAAAAAUAAGCUUCCCAAAGAUGAACUUCCCGAAGUUUGGGUGAUAGACCCAGAGAAGCUGAAAAAGAGCAGUCACCCAGAGGCCAGAUGGAGAGAGCCCAAUGUGGCGUGUGCAGGCCUCACUCACUCAUGCCAAGAGCCUGGCAGCAAAGUGCAAAUCCUGAGGGGGGAGUUCUGCUGUGUCCGUUCAGGGUCGAGGCUGGGCUUUCGGACACUGGCACCAGACAUUCUGUGUUCACAGUCAGCGCGGACACUUACUAGUUGGUUGACUACCGGAACAUUAGCCCUAAGCUGACAUCUGCUGCCAAUCCUCUGCUUUUUGCUGAGGAAGACUGGCCCUGAGGAACAUCCGUCCCCAUCUUUCUCUACUUUAUAUGUGGGACACCUGCCAUAGCAUGGCUUCAUAAGUGGUGGGUAGGUUCACACCCAGGAUGUGAACCGGCAAACUCUGGGUGGAGAAAGUGGAACGUGCAAACUCAACCGCUGUGCCACGGGGCUGGCCCCUGAAUAGAAAUUUUUUUUAAAGUAUUAUUUCAAUUGUUGCUGGUAGAUAAAAAUGUUAUGGACUUGAGUAUGUUAAUCUUAUGCCCAGCAAAUGUGCUGAGCUCUCUCAUUCAUUAUAAUACUGUAUUUGUAAAUUCUCUUGGAUUUUCUGGAUAAAUAAUCAUAUUGUUUAUGAAAAAUACGAAUUUUAUUUCUUCCUUUCCAAACUUUAUGUCAUUUAUUUCCUU
rnacentral:lncRNA from 1 species